AAUGGGAAGGGGUACUACUGGAACGGUAGCUAAUACCGCAUAAUGUCGCAAGACCAAAGAGGGGGUCCUUCGGGCCUCUUGCCAUCAGAUGUGCCCAGAUGGGAUUAGCUAGUAGGUGGGGUAACGGCUCACCCAGGGCGACGAUCCCUAGCUGGUCUGAGAGGAUGACCAGCCACACUGGAACUGAGACACGGUCCAGACUCCUACGGGAGGCAGCAGUGGGGGAAUAUUGCACAAUGGGGGCAAGCCUGAUGCACCCAUGCCGCGUGUAUGAAGAAAGCCUUCGGGUUGUAAAGUACUUUUCGCGGGGAGGAAGGUGUGAAGGUUAAUAACCUCAGCAAUUGACUUUACCCCAAAAAAACACCGGCUAACUCCGUG
rnacentral:rRNA from 1 species